GGAAUUUGAAGGGCGUAUGGUGGAUGCCUUGACUCCAAAAGGCGAUGAAGGACGCGAGCUGGCGGCGAUACGCUUCGGGGAGGUGCCUAGCAACCUUUGAUCCGGAGAUGUCCGAAUGGGGAAACCCCUCGUGCUUUGCACGAGACGUGCGCAGCACAGAGUGCGACACCAAUCCACGAAUUCAUGCGAAUGACGCGAAUGGAAGAAGUUUAUUCGUGUUAUUCGUCCCCAAUUCGUAAUUAGUGUCGUGUUCCGCGCUGCGCGCGAGCGCACCCAGGGAAGUAAAACAUUUCAGUACCUGGUGGAAAAUAGAACAAUAGUUAUUUCCUAAGUAGCGGCGAGCGAAAAGGAAAGAGCCCAAACCGAACUCUGAAUUUUAGUUUCAAGGAUCCCAAGGUUCGACCUUGGAUCUUAAGAAAGGUCGAACCUUAUUGAAAUUAAAAUUUAGAGUUCGGGGUUGUAAGGUAGUAACGUCGUUUUUUAUUAAACGAGAAGAGUUACAAAAUAUGUUGUUAACUGAAAGAGCUGGAAAGCUCUACCCAAGGAGGUAAUAGUCCUGUAAGUGAAAAUAACAUAUCUCUUUUGUUGCUAUUCUUGAGUACCUCGAGACACGAAUGGCUCGGGGGAAUCUGCCGGAACUAACCGGUAAGGCUAAAUACUUUUGGAGAUCGAUAGUGAACUAGUACCGUGAGGGAAAGGUGAAAAGCAGCCCGGUAAGGGCGGUGAAAUAGACCUGAAACCAUAUGCCUACAAGGAGUCAGAGCGGGCAGCACAUUGAGUACAAUGUGAGUUUUCAAUUUACAAUUUUUAAUUUUCAAAUAAUUUUCAAUUUCUUAAUGUUUAAAAAUUAAGUCAUUGAUACAUUCAUUGAAAAUUGGAAAUUGAUAAUUUUAAAUUUGCAUCGCGCUUAGCGUGCUGUCCGUCAUGGCGUGCCUAUUGAAGAAUGAGCCAACGAGUUGAUCUAGACGGCGCAGGCUAAGCCCCAAUAAAGGGUGGAGCCAUAGGGAAACCGAGUGUGAAUAGCGCGCCUGCCCGCCCAACUUUAUCCCAGAACACUUGAGCAGUGAUAAAUGAAAUUUUUAAGUACAAAACUUCUUUUAACAUAAUCAGAUUUUCGGUGAUAAAGUUGGGCGGGUGAAGUCGUAUAGAUCAGACCCGAAGCCAAGUGAGCUUGCCCUGGGCAGGGUGAACUCUCGAGAAAUCGAGAGGAAGGCCCGAACUGGUUAGCCGUGCAAUACUAUCGGAUGACCUGGGGUAAGAAGUGAAAAGCUAAUCGAACUUGGUAAUAGCUGGUUCUCUCCGAAAUAGCUUUUGGGCUAGCGUCGUGUGUUUCUUCUGGGGGUAGAGCACUGGAAGGUCUCGACAGGUCGAAAGAUCGCGAAACCUAUCAAACUCCGAAUACCAGAAGCUUGCCCGCUCAACUUUAUUCCCGAACAUUUGAGAAGUGAUAAAUGAAAAUUUUAUGUACAAAACUUCUUUUAACACAAUCAGAUUUUCGGUGAUAAAGUUGGGCGGGUGAAUAGCGCGGCAGUUAGACGGUGGGGGCUAAGCUCCACUCGUCAAAAGGGAAACAGCCCUUGAUCUCCAGUUAAGGUCCCUAAAUCUAUGCUAAGUGCAUCACAAGGUGGUGGAGUUUCGAAGACAAUGAGGAGGUAGGCUUAGAAGCAGCCAUCCUUUAAAGAUAGCGUAACAGCUCACUUAUUAAGAAAUUCUGCGCCGAAGAUAAUCGGGGCUAAGCAUAGUACCGAAACUGAGGGCUUGAAAACUUCAUUGAGGAUUUGUUCUUUAAUUAUUUUUGGUGACAAUCUAAUAGCAUAAUGGAAAUGCGUCUCAUGUAAGUGGGGAGAAGUGGGAUCGAAACCCACGUGAUUGUCACCUCCUCAAUGAAGUUUUCAAGCGGUAGGAGAGUAUUCCAAUCUGCUGUGAAGGAGAAGGGGUGACCCACUCUGGAGCGUUUGGAAGUAAGAAUGUUGGCACAAGUAACCACAAUUCCAGUGAGAAACUGGAACACCGAAAGACCAAGGUUUCCCUCUCAAUGAUUGUCAGAGAGGGGUUAGUCGGGCCUAAGCCGAUGGUGAAAACCGUAGGCGAUGGACACACGGUUAAUAUUCCGUGACUUUUGUAAAAUGCGAUGGGAGGACGGAGUCUAGUAUACGAAGCGCAUUAUUGGAUUUGCGUUUGUAGCGUGAGGACGGAUCCUAGGUAAAUCCGGGGUCCUGCAUUUAAUUGCGAUUCCAAGCGAAGCGAAAAUUCGGAGAUUCGUCGAAGGAAAUUUCGUAAAGCGGGCUUCCAAGAAAAUUCUCUAAGCAUAAUUUUACAAAAACCGUACCGCACACCGACACAGGUGGUCAGCUCGAGUAGAGCAAGGUGAACGAGUGAAGGUUCUCCAAGGAACUCGGCAAAAAAGUGGCCGUACCUUCGGUAUAAGGCCUGCCCCGCCGCAAGGCUGGGGCCGCAGCUAAAGUAUGCCUGGCGACUGUUUAUCAAAAACACAGCUCCCUGCGAACUCGUAAGAGGAUGUAUAGGGGGUGACACUUGACCAAUGCCAGAAGGUCAAACAACGAUGUUGUGAGCAUCACUUUGAUUUCAAGAAUUUAAGGUUCGACCUUGGAUCUUAAAAAAGAUCGAACCUUGUUGAAAUUAAAGUGAUGCUCAUGGUGAUUGUUGUAAGCCCUGGUGAAUGUCGGCCGUAACUAUAACGGUCCUAAGGUUCGCAACAUUUUAUUUUAAAGUGUUGCGGAUGAUUAGGACUGUUACGUUCGGAGUUUAUGAUAAACGUUAAAUCAAUACACUAAUAAAAAAGCUACCUCUCCAUGCCGUAAGGCGUGGAUGAUCAAGUAACACGGCUCAUAUGAGAGGCCAUACGCCGUGAUUCCAUUUGCGUGGAAUAAGAUAUGGUCCUUCUUCGGGGAAUAGAAGAGCGAAAUUCCUUGUCGGGUAAGUUCCGACGCGCACGAAUAGUGUAACGACUGGGCAACUGUCUCGGAGAACAGCUCGGUGAAAAUACAAUACCGGUGAAGAUGCCGGUUACCUGCAGUUAGACGAAAAGACCCUAGAAGCUUUACUACAACUUGAUAGUGAAACUAUGUUUUGUCUGCGUAGCGUAGACGGUAGACUUUGAAGUUUAUCUUUCGGGAUAGAUGGAGUCGACGAUGAAACACCGUUCUUUCGAAAUAUAUUUUCUAACCCCGACGGCAAAAACGACGGGGGACACUAUCUGGCGGGUAGUUUUAGUGGGGCGCUAUCCUUGGGGACGCAGAACUAUGCGGAACGAACGCGGAACACGCGGAAGUCCGAAUUGUUUGUGUCUCCAAACUAUGGCGCCUCCGGAAGUUUUAUCCACUUCAAAACAAAUAAAUUAUAGGGGGACUUUCGCGAGUAAUCGCGAUCGAAAAGUUAACUAUAUGCUGGAAAAUCUGGUGUAGCCAGAACUACUUGGUUUUGAUAUAAUAGUUUUUGUUAUAAAUUAACCUAAUUAUUAUGCCAAAUCCAAGUGAAAAAGUUCAUGGUGCAGACAACCAGCAGGAAGAUCUUGAAACUAUAAAAUCAAAAAUGUUAGAACACAUAGGUGUUCUAGAAAACUAUCUAUUACUUCUAAAAGAUGAAGUGAGUAUAGGUAAAUCAGAUAAGCAUAUGGAUAGACAUCAGAUGAAGGAAGUUGAUCAAAAAUUAUUACAGUUCAAGAGUGAUUUAGAUAGUACAAUGGAACAAAUUCUCAAUGAAUCAAAAAGAGAAAGAUCUUCCUCAGAGACUAAACGUUAACCGUCCAUGAAAAUGGAUGAUGAUAUAGUCCGAUCUUCACGGCGACGUGAAGAGACAAGCAGAAAUGACUUGUCCACUUGGAGGCGAGGCCUCCAAGUUGCAACAGACUUGCCUAAAGAGUAACGGAGGAGUCCAUUAAGGUUCUCUAGGCGCGAAUGGAAACCGUGCCGAUAGUGCAAUGGCAUAAGAGAGCUUAACUGUGAGGCGUACGUGCCAAACAGACGCGAAAGCGGGGCAUAGUGAACCGACGGUCCGUGUUAGAGGCGGCCGGAGAUUAUCGGAUAAAAGCUACUCUAGGGAUAACAGGCUAGUUCCGCCUAAGAGUCCAUAUCGACGGCGGAGUUCGGCACCUCAAUUCGGGGCGCCAUGCGAGAAAUCGCAUUAGCACUUUUGGCACAAACAUAGGAGUUGAACCCUU
rnacentral:ncRNA from 1 species